UGUUGUGCUGGGUCCGGUGGCGGCGGGAAUAGGGUGGUCGCAGCCGGUGUUCGGGUGUAUUGGUCGUAAAGGUGUCGUAGGCUGUCGCGCAAGUCGGGUGGGUAGUCCCGGGGCUCAACCCCGGAACUGCAUGUGAUACUGCGUGGCUAGGGUGCUGGAGAGGAGACUGGAAGUUACGGUGUAGCAGUGAAAUGCGUAGAUAUCGUAAGGAAGACCAGUGGCGAAGGCGAGUCUCUGGACAGCUACCGACGCUGAGGCACGAAGGCCAGGGGAGCAAACGGGAUUAGAUACCCUAGUAGUC
rnacentral:rRNA from 1 species